AUUGAACGCUGGCGGCAGGCCUAACACAUGCAAGUCGAGCGAGCGGCGGACGGGUGAGUAAUGUCUGGGAAACUGCCUGAUGGAGGGGGAUAACUACUGGAAACGGUAGCUAAUACCGCAUCCCAUCGGAUUUUCCCAGAUGGGAUUAGCUUGUAGGUUGGGUAACGGCUCAACAAGGCGACGAUGCCUAGCUGGUCUGAGAGGAUGACCAGCCAAACUGGAAAUGAGACACGGUCCAGACGCCGACGGAAGGCAGCAGUGGGAAAUAUUGCACAAUGGGCGCAAGCCUGAUGCAGCCAUGCCGCGUGUAUGAAGAAGGCCUUCGGGUUGGAAAGUACUUUCAGCGGGGAGGCGUUACCCGCAGAAGAAGCACGGGCUAACUCCGUGCCAGCAGCCGCGGUAAUUC
rnacentral:rRNA from 1 species